AUCUGUAUUGAUGGCACUUCCAAGCCAGUAACAAGGAUUUUUGUGGAUGGAGUUCUGGUUUUGGUGUUGGCACUGGUCUCUUAUUACAUGAUAACCAUUGUCUUUUUUCAUUUUCUGUUGUGAUGCAAAACCCAUUUUUUAUCACCUCUAACAUUGUGCUGCAAAAAUGACAGGUUGUUAUUCCUGGUUAGAAGACUGUUGCAAAUAGUGGAAUGUUGUGUUUGGUUCUCAAGUGUAAGCUCAUGUGGAACCCAAAUUCCCUAUUUGCAGGUUUUCCCAAUUUGCUUGAGAUGUUUGUGGAUAGUUGAA